ACGUAGGGCGCAAGCGUUGUCCGGAAUUAUUGGGCGUAAAGAGCUUGUAGGUGGCUUGUCGCGUCUGCCGUGAAAACCCGAGGCUCAACCUCGGGCGUGCGGUGGGUACGGGCAGGCUAGAGUGUGGUAGGGGAGACUGGAACUCCUGGUGUAGCGGUGAAAUGCGCAGAUAUCAGGAAGAACACCGAUGGCGAAGGCAGGUCUCUGGGCCAUUACCGACGCUGAGAAGCGAAAGCAUGGGUAGCGAACAGGA
rnacentral:rRNA from 1 species